UGGGUGAUGCUCUUCUUC
rnacentral:snRNA from 1 species